rnacentral:ncRNA from 1 species
AAUGGCAGCUGAUAAUAGGGAAUCCUGUGUGAAUCAGGAACUGUACCCGUAGCUGUAUUUUCCAAAAUGUUCCAAGGGUUAUCUUGGCCACUGUCCUUAUGAUGGGAAGGCGCCUUUGGAGGAAUGAGUCAGAAGACCUGCCGCAAUUCUU